rnacentral:rRNA from 1 species
UUCCGUAGGUGAACCUGCGGAAGGAUCAUUACUAGUUUCGCUGCGCUUCGUCGCGGUGUUUCUAAAAAACUCUCGGGCUUUCAGCCUAGGGUUCCCGGCCUGUCUGCCGGGGACUGAACGCGACUCCGCGGCUUGAGUCUUUAGGCUCUCGCUAGCUCGGACCGCGGCUCGGAGGUUCGGUCCGGUGGCCCGCCUUUUGGUGGUCAGAAGCCGGUUAAAGUGCUUCGCCGUUCUCCCGAGUUUGAAUUUUGCUCUCCCCGUGAGGAGCUGUGAAAAACUUAACCGUUUGUUGAAAACUCGGCCAAUUUUUUGGCUAAACUUUUCGAAAAACAAUACUGUACAGUGGAUCACUUGGCUCGGGGGUCGAUGAAGAACGCAGCAAACUGCGCGUCAGCAUGCGAACUGCAGGACAUAUGAGCAUCGACAUUUUGAACGCAUAUUGCGGACCGUGGCUCGUCCACUGUCCACGUCUGGCUCAGGGUCGGUUAAUCAUCCAUCCAACUUCAUUGUUGGCAUUGAGCUCUCUGUAUUCCUCGGAGUACAGUGGCUUCAAGUUCUGAUGGCGCUAGACUUGCUUGUCUGGCCGACUCUCGGGCUCACGCCUGGGUUGGCAUUUCGGACUGCGGGCUUGGCGCUUUGGAGACUGGACUUUGAAUUCUAGUCUUCUUCCCUCUUUUAACUCACGACCUGAGAGCAGGCGAGAUUACCCGCCAAAUUUAAGCAUAUCAAUA